AGAUCUAAUGCAAAAUGUGGCUUUAAAAUACUCCAUACUCUCUCCCCAGAUUUGGAUGUGUCAGAAGUGAGAUUUAAAUAUGACCUCUGAAUAGAGAUUCAUCAGGGAAGGAAGCCCUUUCAGUGUGCCUUGGGAUGCCCAAGUGGCUAGACAUCCUGAUGUUUGGUAGCUCACAGACUGUCCAGUUUCUCGUUUGAGCUUGGGGAGGUGGCUUGCCUCAGUUCCCCCUGCAAUGCAGGUUUUACACUAUUGCUACUGACCCCUUUCGUGCUCCCCCUACCCUGCAGAGAGAGCUCCAUUCCCGUGGACGUGGCUCGGCAGCGGGAGCUCAAAUGGCUGGACAUGUUCAGUAACUGGGAUAAGUGGCUGUCACGGCGAUUCCAGAAGGUGAAGCUGCGCUGCCGGAAGGGGAUCCCCUCCUCUCUCAGAGCCAAGGCCUGGCAGUACCUGUCUAAUAGCAAGGAACUUCUGGAGCAGAACCCAGGAAAGUUUGAGGAGCUGGAACGGGCUCCUGGGGACCCCAAGUGGCUGGAUGUGAUUGAGAAGGACCUGCACCGCCAGUUCCCUUUCCACGAGAUGUUUGCUGCUCGAGGGGGGCAUGGGCAACAAGACCUGUACCGAAUCCUGAAGGCCUACACCAUCUACCGGCCUGACGAGGGUUACUGCCAGGCCCAGGCCCCGGUGGCUGCGGUCC
rnacentral:sRNA from 1 species